CACUUCCAGCUUCUAAGCCAGGUGGGUUUCCUCACCUACUGCUGAAACCUUUGCAGUCCUCGUGGUAGCCUCUUGUGAGCAAAAUUUGGGCCAUUUGCUUUUGCUGCCCGCAGACCCCCAGGAGGCAGACAGUCUGCGUUUGGGAGAGAGCGAGGUCAGUGGCCUCAGAACUUAAGCUCACACUGCACUAACGAAGUUACUCUCCUCUAUUCAGCUACCUAUUUAUGAAACAUUUUUGAAAAGUGUAUGUUUGAGACCGCUAAUUGUCCAACUAACUUCAUUGAAACUGGCUGAUAUGUUAAAACCUUGCUUUGACCUGUCAUCCACUUCUGGAGUGCUUAAAAUAAAGUGCACAGAUACAGAGCCACAGCACAGACAACUCUGACUAAUGCAAGUAAUGGAACCAAUCUCUUCCUUUGAUCAUCAAAAAGCAAAAUGAUUGGCUAAGGCAGCAUCAGUUUGCGACUGUCGCUGUGCGUGUGACACGUAGUGUGCGAGAUGUAUGUAAUGCAUGGCAUUUGUGUGCAUCUUGUGUCUCAUCAUGAGAUGAUAUAACAAUUUGUGCAUUAAAACCAGGAGGAAAAACUAAGCCAGGAUGUUGAGACUUGUCCUAAGUGAUGUGUAAAAUCUAGUGUCUAGAAGAGAUAGAUCUUUUAACUGAAGGCUGAAUCAUAUUUUAAAAAGCUUAGUGCUGAGUUUGUAAAUAGUCUCAGAUUUUCAAUGGAGCUAGUCAGAAU
rnacentral:lncRNA from 1 species